rnacentral:lncRNA from 1 species
CCAGAUGCAAGUCGAUGAGGUCACUGUAAUAAGACUCUCCCCAAUAGUCUACAACAAGGAAUCGGUGAAGAGAGAGUUAUUCCAUCAGGUAGUCCUCCUGUCCCCCCAUACCCAAUCAAUGAUAUGAUAUGGAGCAAUCAAUGAUAUGGAGCGCAAGAAACACAGACACAGCGAGGCGGCAGAGGAACGGCUGGAAGGCAUGCGUGCCUAAGUGCAUCACAUACUGCAUGUCCACACAUGCCGUAUCUGCAUACUGCGUGGCUGCGGGAGGAGGGCGGUAACUAAAACUCACUGUGGGGAGUCAAUGGUCACUAUCAACAUGAUCCCACGUACACCAGGGAUCAGCCAGGACAGAGGCUUUGGCUUUGCUGGGAACUCCUGCCCCUGGGACUGAACCUUCUCUAACUAAGAGUUAAUAGAGCGGGGCUGCCUGCGUGUCAGUUGCUGAUACUGGAAGCCCCAGGCUGAGGGCCUGGAGGCAGGAGGCAAACGUCCUACAGAAGCUCUGAAAUCCUUAGGUUUCGUGCAGUCAGUGCUCUCCCAGGAAUUCCCACGACCCCACUGCUGACUCUAUCAAAUGCCUUGCAGACCCACUUUUGCCGAAUGGGUUUGAGAGAAAGGGGAUCCUGUUUCGAGGCUUAGGCCUCCAAAUUCAGUCGGCCUUCUUAACAACAGGAAACGAGCAGAGACUCAUGCAGAGUUCUUCCCCCAGGCACUCGGCCGAAGGCUCCUGGAGGUGUGCUGGCCUGGGGCACUCCUAGCCUGGUAGUUCCACAGCUGUCUGGCCAAGAGCGCUAUGUAAUUUCCACGCCUGAGAUGCAGACUGGGCACUGCCGAGAGGCUGGGCUUGAGCAGGCGGUCCUCAUCUCCCCAGAAUCAUAAAGACACACAGAGCACAGCACUCGGCCGCCAUGGUGUUGCCCUCUCUCCAAACCCCGCAUUCUGAAUGCAGAUCCUCACAGCCUCCGGUCCCACCUGAGGGCCUCCCCUUGAGAGUGACACAGCAGACACAGUGGUAGAAUGCGGUCCUGCCCCAGUUUUUCAAUGCAUGCUCAAGGCUGAGUCAGUGUUUUUGUAACAAAAAGGCUUCCCAGGUGCCCCAGGACUGGAAAUUACCUAAGUUGUGGCCUGGCCCUAGGAUCAAAGGUGCUGAAGCUAAUCCUUGCAGCCUGGCCAUACGUCGUCAUACCUUAGACAAACGGAGAACGGGAUGGCAGGUCCAUGCUAGAGCGCUUCUCUGGAAAGGCAGCUUGGCUAACAAAGUCUGACGCCCUCAGACGGUGAUGGAAGCUGGAGACCCCCAAGUGAGAUGAUGGCAGGUUCCAGCCAGUUUACUACAGUCCCCAGGGAAGGGCAGACUGCCAUGAUGAGAAGACUCCAGAUUAUUAUCAUGCCCAGCUGCCACUGCCUUCUUCAGGGCUCAGCCAGGUGCCACAAGACUAAGAAGAGGAACGGGACGCAGAAGCAGGAGAGAAAGCAGCAGCAGCACGCACACCUGGGCUUCAGAGACGGCAUCGGCCAAGGAGGGGCAGGGCCACGGGGAACUGUGAUGGGAGACCAGCUUGGAAGGGAUGUAUUCACGUAAGAGAAGGAACAUAUUUGGAAAUUCUUAUAUUCUUAUGGUAGGAACCAUAAUUCCUGAAAAUUCCAGAGAGUUUCUCAAAUGCAUCACAACGAAAUAUCCCAACAGAGCUACUAAGGCCCAUCUUGAAAAACAGAACAGAAACAUCUUUGGAUAGAGAUAUCUGCUGAAGACUCAUCUAAAGGAAGGAGUUUGCACUACGACAGUGGUUUUCAAGCCUCUGUGGAACCCUAAGGUUCUUCCAAAGGCAUUCCAAGGGGUCUCCCAAAUACCUGAUGUACAAAUACUUGUAGCUCUUUCAAGAGCCCUUAUUAAAAUAAGACACACCACCUUCAAAUGUUUUUGUUUUUGAGACAGAGUUUCGCUCUUGUUGCCCAGGUUGGACUGCAAUGGCGUGAUCUCGGCUCACCGCAACCUCCACCUCCCAGGUUCAAGCGAUUCUCCUGCCUCAGCCUCCCGAGUAGCUGGGAUUACAGGCAUGUACCACCAUGCCAGGCUAAUUUUUUGUAUUUUUAGUAGAGACAGGGUUUCUCCAUGUUGGUCAGGCUGGUCUCAAACUCCCGGCCUCAGGUGAUCCGCCCACCUCGGCCUCCCAAAGUGUUGGGAUUACAGGCGUGAGCCACCGCGCCCGGCCCAAAUGUUUUAUAUGCCAACUUUUCACCCACUGGAGACCAUCAACCCAAUAAUUUGUGCUGCCAGGUGAGCUUGAUUUUGUGGAGCCCUCAGGAUCAAGUUUCCGCCUCUCUCUGUGUGUAAGUGGCUGAACUCCCUGUAAAUGUGUUAGUGAAGAGGACAUUUUAUUCAUUUGUUUAUUUAAAUUCUGGCCUGCAGCAUAGUGCUCACCUGCCACCGUUCAGGGUCUGUCCGGGAGAGCUACAGCUCACUGACAGCACGCACGCCUGUCAGCGAGUCCCUUUAUGUAGGUGGGUAACACGUUUUGCUGCGGUAUUACAGCAUGGCUGGGUUUUUGUUUACUUUGUUUGGGAGCCUCUUGUUUGAGACUUGCUUGUCAUGAGGAAUAGGAACUGCUGUUAGAUUUGCUGUGAUCCAACUGUGGAAAAAAAAAAAAAAAAGCUCUUGCCUCAUUUUAAACUUCUAGUGUCUACAUCAUUUAAACUGCAGAAAUCCUGAGAUUUCCAAGUAAGCUGUUAAAAAAACCAAAAACCAACCAAAUAAAAAAAACCAUGUUGUCACUUAUAGCAACUACAGUUCUUGUGUGUACUGGCUGGAUGCCGGGGCUUGGUCAUGUCCACCACUCUCUGCUAUAACCUGUGUUUUCAAAUCUGUGUUAAUUAUUAACAUUUGAGAGUAAUUCUUUUUGAUUUUAAACUUGAACUUAUCAUCUUGUGAAAAGAGGUCUGCUGCUAGUUUUUUGAAAACCACUGACUUAGACGGCAUUUGGGUUGUGUAUGUUUGAGGAAAUGUGAUUAUCUAAUGACUAGAAGAAAUAAUUCUGGCAAAACCCUAACGCCAAUCUUCAGUGGUAUAUUAUUUUCCGGCCCUUUGGCAGAAGCUUGAAUAACAGGGCCCGUGACAGGGGCGUCGAAGCACUGUUUUACACUCAGACUUCACGGAGGCCACAGGCGCUCAAGUGCUUUACGGAAACCACCAACCUUGAUGGCACCACCACCUCAACCUCAUGAGUAAGGAGGGCAGGGAGCUGUCUUCUUCCUGAAGGGCUUAAACCAUGAAAUGCGGUUAUUCUGUCUGUGUGUUGAGAUCUAAUCCACUGCUUUCCAUCUUGGCAGAAGUGAUUUGUGGAGAAGGGCAAGAAGGAAUGAAGAUGAGCCUAGGCUCUCUCCUGAUAUCUUCUGCAAGAAGAGAAAUGGCACGAGGGCAGGGCCCCAUAGGCCCGGACGCAGUCGGGCACAGGAAGCCCCAAAUCUCAGAGAUGAAGGGCCCCAGAAAAUCCUGCUGGAAAAGGAGCUGAAUUCCAGGUGAGGUGAAGCAAAACUAGCCUACCACGGCGGGAGGGAGGGCUUCCUCCAGGAGCAGAGCUUAGGAGGGAGCCCGGCAGUACCUGCUUCGCCCCGGAGCGCCUUCUCCACAGCCACGCCCCUUUCCUCCAGCCGCCGCUGCCUCUCCUCCACCUGCUGCAGCUGCCGCUGGAUGAUCUAUGACAGACAGCACAGACUGAGCACCCGGCUCUCCAGCCCUGCUUCAGGAGGACACACAACUCCACACCCACACGAGGGGAAACACAGGAGUUGCCGCUCUGGAAAGGGCUCUAGUCUGUGGGCGGUGCGCUCAGGGUGUGGCGUGGAGACCACCUGCACCAGAACCACCUAGCUUGUGUAGACGCCAGGCUCCGGGCCUUGCUAGUUAGCAUCAAAGCGCGUGGACGUGACUCAAGUAGUGACCACCCUCCCAGGAGUGUUGCAGAGACAGGAAGUGGAUGUAAUCUGUGGCAGGAGGGGCCUGAGUACCAGAACCUCAGACUGUUCUCACGGCAAGACUGCUAGAGUGCUGGAGGGGGUUCCUGAAGAGUGCAGUGGAAAUCCCAUCUUUACGAUAAAAAUUUAAAACAGAAGGCCAGGCACGGUGGCUCAUCCGUGUAAUCCCAACACUUUGGGAGGCUGAGGUGGGCGGAUCACAAGGUCAAGAGAUCAAGACCCUCCUCGCUAGCAUGGUGAAACCCUGUCUCUACUAAAAAUACAAAAAUUAGCUGGAUGUGGUGGCACAGGCCUGUAAUCCCAGCUACUCGGGAGGCUGAGGCAGGAGAAUCGCUUGAACCAGGGAGGCAGAGGUUGCAGUGAGCUCAGCGCCACUGCGCGUCCAGCCUGGCCACGGAGUGAGACUCCGUCUCAAACAAAACAAAACAAAACAAAACAAUAGAAAUCUACAGUGGUCUAGAUUCAGGGUCUGUGCAGCCUGAAAACAAGCUGGAGAAUGGGAGGAGAGCUCUGACCUCUGACCUCUUCCCACAAAAAUCCCAGGCCUAUCAGAGGCUGAGGGGCCACAAAUGGACUCCUGGUGACAGUCCUCACAAUUGAAUGAGGUGACUUACAAUGAUUAUUCUACAACAAGGGAUUCGGGAAACUCAAUGCAGGGUUCUUCCUUUUUUUUUUUAUUUUUAUUUUUAUGAGAUGGAGGCUCGCCCUCUCACCCAGGCUGGAGUGCAAUGGUGCAAUCUAGGCUCACUGAAAUCUCCACCUCCUGGGUUCAAGCGAUUCUCGUGCCUCAGCCUCCCAAAUAGCUGGGAUUACAGGGGCCCGCCACUAUGCCUGGCUAUUUUUUUUUUUUUUUUUUUUUUUUUUGAGACAGAGUCUCUCUGUGUCGCCUAGGCUGGGGUGCAGUGGCACAAUCUCGGCUCACUGCAAGCUCCACUUGCUGGGUUCAUG